UUAACCACUGCCUUUGAGAGAGCUACAGCUGAGAAAAUCCGCUGCCAGGAAGAAGUGAAUAGAACUAACAAGGCUAUUGAGCUGGCCAACAGAUUAGUGAAAGGUCUGAGGGAAAUUGUUGACCAAACACCAGCAGAAGUUGACCAAACACCAGCAGAAGUGAUACCAUCUAGCCAGGAUUUCAGGGAAAAUCUUGCAUCAAGUGUCAUGUCUAAUCUCUUACUGACUUUAUGACAUAAAAGAUCCUGCCCAAAAGUGGAAACUGUUUUUUUCUGCAUUCUUCUCUGAGCCCUGGAACGCAAGGACUAUUCUGGGUGGUUGUUACUCUGUACCAAGGAAUCCUUUGCUUCUGACAGGUGCCAAUUAUGCUGUGGACAUCUGCCCUGGAGGCAUUGAAUCAAGCUGACAACUCAUUUUAUAUCAAUCAAACAACAACCAUUUUCAAUAAUUUCCCAUCCAGCUGGGACUGAAUUUGCAAAAGUGAUCUAUGUAUUAGAGACAUUACCAAUCCACAGAGACAUUCAGAACCAUGAUUAUAUUCUGUUUUCCCACAGAAACUCUUGCAUCUGCACAAGAAAGCAAUAACUUUUUCCACUAUGCAGGAGGAUGCUGACAACUCAAUUCUGGUCACUUACUGCCAAACUCAACUCGCAACAGUCAACUUGUGUCAGACUAGAAGGGGAUUUUUUGUAUCCACGCUUGCUACAUGCAAAUCCUUUCUGUUGAUCCUCUAAUGGAAGUGAAUCUGUACAUUCAUACUGCAGUACUCACUACUGUUUAGCCACAGUAGUGAGCAGGUUUUGAUUAUCGGUCGUCAUUCCAGGAACAAAAGGUCUUGAUCCAGUCACUGUGCGGAUGGAUGAUCCAACAAUUGCUAAACAGAAAAUUGGCAGCAGUGCCUUGCAAUACCAUGGCCACAUAAAAAGCUCCUGGCCUUACAUGUGUAGUCAUCAUUGGCAUAUACUGGUCAACCCUCAGUGCCAAGGAUCACAUACAUAGAAGUUAAACCUGGUUCAGAUUUAAAAGUUGUCUAUUUGAGUCAAAAAGGAAAGGAGCCAGUUGGCAGCUACAAGCACUGGUAAGAGUAAAAACAGCUGCUGAGCUAUCGAGGAAACAUGGCAAUGAUUUUUUCUGAACUCCUUAUGUUGCACAAGGUGUUUUCUUAAUGCCUCAGGAAUCAUAACACCUCUGCUAAAGCAUUUUACUCCUUUAAGCUCAUCAAAACAUAAUGAAUGGGAUACAGUACACUGGCACUGUAUCCCUUGACUUUCACUAGCCCUAUACUGGUAUGAUUUUUACAGGUAUGUGUUGUACAGCAGGUAUUUUUUGCUUGGAGGCCCCGUUUUAGUAAACAACUUGUAAGAAAUGAUCGACCUUGUAUUUGACCCAGUACUUGCAAGUUAUUUAUGUUCAAAUUAUUUUUUAAUAGUCUGUUAUUUUCUCUGUCAGCUAUCUCUCUGAUUAUGUUCUGCAAGCAUUCAAAGCAUCUUCCUCUGAAAACUGUCUUCCUACACUUGUAUGAUAGUUUUCUUAACUCCUGUGGAUCACAGUGCCCCAGACACAUUGACUCUGGCUAGAUUUUUACUUGUCUAUUUUACACCCUUUUAUUUGUCAUAUCUACACCCUUGCAUGCACUAUAUUUCAAUGAUUGCAAUUUGAGCACUCUUUUCUACCUAGCUGAAUAGUCCUCCCCAACACACCGCCAUCCUGAUGUGUAAUCACCCAGGAGACAUAAUCAUUCACUUAGAAUAAAAAUAAUUCUCCUACCA